GGGAGACGGAUCGUUUACUUUGAAAAAAUCAGAGUGUUUCAAGCAGGCAGCUCGCUCUUGCAUGGAUUAGCAUGGGAUAAUGAAAUAGGACUCUGGUGCUAUUUUGUUGGUUUCGAACACCGGAGUAAUGAUUAACAGGGACAGUCAGGGGCACUCGUAUUCCGUCGAGAGAGGUGAAAUUCUCAGACCAAUGGAAGACGAACCACUGCGAAAGCAUUUGCCAGGGAUGUUUUCACUGAUCAAGAACGAAAGUUAGGGGAUCGAAGACGAUCAGAUACCGUCGUAGUCUUAACCAUAAACCAUGCCGACUAGGGAUUGGAGGGUGUUCGUUUCGACCUCUUCAGCACCUUACGGGAAACUAAAGUCUUUGGGUUCCGGGGGGAGUAUGGUCGCAAGGCUGAAACUUAAAGGAAUUGACGGAAGGGCACCACCAGGAGUGGAGCCUGCGGCUUAAUUUGACUCAACACGGGGAAACUUACCAGGUCCAGACAUUGUUAGGAUUGACAGAUUGAGAGCUCUUUCUUGAUUCGAUGGGUGGUGGUGCAUGGCCGUUCUUAGUUGGUGGAGUGAUUUGUCUGGUUAAUUCCGAUAACGAACGAGACCUUAACCUGCUAAAUAGCCCAAUCGAC
rnacentral:rRNA from 1 species